ensembl:lncRNA
GUGGAGAGAUGAGGUAGAGGGAUGGCGGGAUGAGGUAGAGGGAUGGCGGGAUGAGGAGAGGGAUGGAGGGAUGAGGUAGAGGGAUGGCGGGAUGAGGUAGAGGGAUGGAGGGAUGAGGUGGAGGGAUGAGGUAGAGGGAUGGAGGGAUGAGGUGGAGGGAUGAGGUAGAGGGAUGUCGGGAUGAGGUGGAGGGAUGAGGUAGAGGGAUGGAGGGAUGAGGUAGAGGGAUGGCGGGAUGAGGUAGAGGGAUGGAGGGAUGAGGUAGAGGGUGAGGAUGAUGUCAUGAUCCUCAGGGUCAUGUCUGUUCAGCCUCAGGAAGGGAGCGGUCGUUUUAGUGUAUUUCAUUAAUAAAGGGAAGGCUGGACAGGCGUCAGACACAUAACAGACACGUCAGACGGGCCUCUCACCUGAC